AGCUUAAUUGUUCAAAUGCCUAAUUACCAAAUUUUUAUCAUAAUCCUUUUUUAAUACUGAGUAAUUCUAUAUUGUUAUAGAAAAUUUUAUGUUAAAACUAGUAACAAGAAGAAGACCCUUCUCUUUAAUGCAAGUGUAAAUCAGAAAGGACAAACCACUGAUAUUCAACGUCAAUGAACCAAAAGUAAUAACCAACCAAGAAAAUCUUACUUUUAUUAAACGUUAACCUAACACAAGAGCAUUUCAAGAAAGAUUAAAAGAAAAAGAAGGAACUCGGCAAACAUUAACCUCGCCUGUUUACCAAAAACAUCGCCUCUUGAAGACUUAUAAGAGGUCUAGCCUGCCCAGUGACCCUGUUCAACGGCCGCGGUAUCCUAACCGUGCGAAGGUAGCGUAAUCACUUGUUCUUUAAAUGUGGACUAGUAUGAAUGGCAUCACGAAGGUUAUACUGUCUCCUUUUUUUAAUCAGUGAAACUAAUCUCCCCGUGAAGAAGCGGGGAUAAACCUAUAAGACGAGAAGACCCUAUGGAGCUUUAAACAAUAUAGCACUUGCCACACAAUAAUAAAAUUUCUGUAUUUAAACUUUCACCGGCAACUUGACUAUAAGUUUUUGGUUGGGGUGACCGCGGAGCAUAACACAACCUCCAUAUUGAAUAGAACUUUUCUAAGCUAAGACCUACAAGUCUGAGCAUCAAAAUAUUGACAUCCAUUGACCCAAUAUAUUUGAACAACGAACCAAGUUACCCUAGGGAUAACAGCGCAAUCCACUUCAAGAGCUCCUAUCGACAAGUGGGUUUACGACCUCGAUGUUGGAUCAGGGUAUCCCAGUGGUGCAGCCGCUACUAAU
rnacentral:rRNA from 1 species